GAAUAAACAAAGAGAUUGCGAGAUGUUGUUUACGUGUGUCACUCGACACUGACUGCAAGAAACAAAGAGUGGAGAGCUAAUGCAUGGUGCUAAGUAUGGAAAGGUCUCUUGUGGUUUGGUUGUGCCAGAGACAAAUGUGCAUUAUUUCCAUGUUGGGUCAGAAGUCUCGGUACACUUUAGGUGAGUGGCAGUUGGGUAGAUGGAUGACCUUCAGAUAGUUUGAGAUGAAGAAGUUCUUUUAAAUGGUUGAAAGUGAUCAUCAUAGAAUCAACUCCAUUAUGAAGAUAAAUUAUGAGAGUCAGCACUUCUUUUGUCCAACACCUGAGAGAUCUAAGUACCCAGCCUACUGUUGAAUUAAUUGGUGACCAAGAAAAGAUGACAGAGAGGGGAAUCAAAUAUGGAUGCCAUCAUGAUCAAGAAUAUAUAUAGAUGAACAUUCAAGCAUUUAUAAUAAUGAAAGUCAUUCAGCAAGAGAGUUUUUGCACAAGUUUAAUUUUCAGUAAAAUUGUGUAUAUUGUGCACUGAGGAACUUAGUAUGUAACUCAUUAUGAUUAUCCAUUUCUUUAGAGGAUGUAUUUGGAGUAUAUUUAAAUAAUCAUUAUCUUCUAGAAAAGAGCACACAAAACUUUUCUC